rnacentral:rRNA from 1 species
UUUGUAGGUGGCUUGCUCAGUCAGACGUGAAAUCCCUCAGCUUAACUGGGGAACUGCGUCUGAUACUAGCGAGCUUGAGUGCAGGAGAGGAACGCGGAAUUCCAGGUGUAGCGGUGAAAUGCGUAGAUAUCUGGAGGAACACCGGUGGCGAAGGCGGCGUUCUGGACUGCAACUGACACUGAAAAACGAAAGCCAGGGGAGCAAACG